rnacentral:lncRNA from 1 species
CUAGCCCCGGUCUCCUCACUACUGGGCUGGCGGCGGAGGGACUCCAAGGCUGCAGGUGGCAACAGCCGGGAACCCAGCCCCCUGCCCGAGCUGCCUCUCCGAAAAGUCGGGGGUCCAUCGAGAGGUGCCCUGUCACCCAGCGUCUCCGCCAAGGAGGCAGCCAGUGAACUGCAGAACAUCCAGAGACUGGUGAGCGGGGCUGGAGAGCCAGCGAGCCCUCUCCGCCAGGCAGGGGGAGUCGCCCAAGUGAGGGGCUGCCCCGCUGCUCGCUGCUCGCUGCUCGCUGCCAUGCAGGCCUCCAGGGCUGCCUGCCCCUACUGCUUGGAACGUGUACAGCACAGAAUGGGUAUUUAUUUAAAUAAAGGAGAACAGCGGGCUGCAGCAGCCAGAAUAGAGCCUCUUCUGGCAGGCGGGCGUCCGGGGCACUUCCCCGGGCCUCAACCAGGAAUCAGGCUACCUGGAACACAGUCGCUUUGGAGCCAGUGGACUCGGUCCAGACCUGCUCCAGCAUCCAUCAAGGUGACACCAGUGGGAUCUCCAGUCUUCUGCGCUGUGUGGGAAGCCUCCCACCCCAGCCCCAGGUCCUUUCAGAAGCCCGAAGGUGCUCCGGCCAGCGGUGGGAGCUUCGGAUGUUGAAGCAGCUGCUUGGUGGGAGAUACCUCCAAGGUCAAACUGCCUCUAGCUGUGAGACGUUGGACAACGUGACUUUCUUCUCUGGGCCCCAGAAUACUCUUCAACCAAACAAGUGGUAUGGACUAAAACCAAACUGAUUCCUGAAUGACCAGUCGGCUUCGACCCAGUUUCCACUGACCCCCCGCCCCCAGCCUCAACUACUUGUGACAGGAGGCAAGGACUAUGCUCCCAUUCCCUGUCGGAGAACCUGAGCCCCAGCCUCAGGCCUUGGGAUCUUGGCUGUCGCCGAGAUUCUUGGGGUGGGGGUAGGGCUGGUGGCCUGGAUGAAUUCCCAAUUAGGAAAUUGCAUUCCAGAUCCUGAAACCCUCAGGGAACUGGCCGGCUCCAGCCUCCUCCCUUGGGAUGAGGCUGCUCACUGCUCCACCUUCCACCUGGGCGCACCCCACACACUGGGGACUUUGGCAUCUAGUGCCACAGUUUGUUGGCUGUGUGUGACUCCUCCGAAAAGAAAGGGUUAUGUGUGGAGCAGCGUACUGAGGCACCUCUGUUUAAGGGUGUCCCCGAUACUCCAUGGGCUCCUUCCUUACCUGAGUGGCAUUCAAAGCACUUUCACCUGUGGGCUCUCAUCGAGGCACAGAGAUUAUGAUCCCCAUUUCACAGAGCCUGAGGCUCAGGGAGAUGAACUGAGGUGCCCAGGGCCCUCCAGUACAUGAAGGACAGAGCUCUUUCACAAUUCCUGC